rnacentral:rRNA from 1 species
GUGUCAGCCGCCGCGGUAAUACGUAGGGCGCAAGCGUUAUCCGGAAUUAUUGGGCGUAAAGAGCUCGUAGGCGGUUUGUCGCGUCUAUCGUGAAAGUCCGAGGCUCAACUUCGGAUCUGCGGUGGGUACGGGCAGACUAGAGUGAUGUAGGGGAGACUGGAAUUCCUGGUGUAGCGGUGAAAUGCGCAGAUAUCAGGAGGAACACCGAUGGCGAAGGCAGGUCUCUGGGCAUUAACUGACGCUGAGGAGCGAAAGCAUGGGGAGCGAACAGGAUUAGAAACCCCCGUAGUCC